CUUCCGGACGGUCGAACGAGUUGCAACGAACACACCAGUUAGCAUAAACGAUAUUUAUAACGAUACGUUAGACACGGGACUCGUGCCAGACGCGUAAAAGCGAUUUGGACCCGUUUUAUUCUCGAAAACGAGUAUCUCUCGCGCAUCGUCGAAAAUUUGCUCGCGAUCUGCACACCUGUUUGACUUUCCAUGUCAAAACGUGAAUAAAUACGAAGAAACGCGGGUGAUCUUGUUAAAAAGCUAUAUCCUCUCGGAUUUUGAAAUAUGUUCUAAAGCUCGACAUCCUGAACAGCUUUUUCCUAUACGUAUAUAUAUAACAGGCGGUCGGCCUUAUUUAUUUUUAAAUUAUACACGAAAAUAUCCCGCCGCGUGUUUUUAGUUUUCAAGCCGAGUUGGAUUAGUAGUAUCAGAGAGAAAAUUACCUCUCUGGUAGUACAUGGUAGUAAGGGCCGCCGCAUUUAACCGCAUUUAGCCGGGUAUCAUUUAACUCUUAAUUAAGAAUGAAUCGUCACUCUGUUUCAAUCGUAAUACAGCCAAGUUCGUUGCUUUUUGAAGAAAACCGAUUGUUUACGAGUUUCAAAUUUCCUGUGUCAAGUGAUUCCAAACACUUUUUUUCUUUUCCACGUGUUUUUUAUCUCUUUUCAACUUAGCAGGAUUCAAUGAAUCAUUACUCAAAUACUCCAUCGUACUAUGUGCUACUAAUGCAACGUAGCUUGAAAGCUAAGGCCGAGCGACGAUAUAUUUUUACACGUAACUGGAAAACUAAGGCCGAUCGUCGAUUAUACGUGCAGGAAAAGGUUGUUCGGAAUAUUGAGCUUUACGACGUAUUUGAAAAUCAUCGAAAUCGGAGAGAAAGUAGGUUUUAGACAAGUUCGCCGAAUCAUGAUUUCACGCGUUCGAUAUACGUGUACGUGAUAAAAAAAAUGUCAUCAGAAAGGAAAAGAGAAGCGCGUUCUUUUGCUGUACGGAUAUCUUCUGUAUCGUUACAUAUACUCUAAUCGACCUUUUUCGUUCUUUGGUGUAGAUAUAUAAUAGUCGUUUAUUCCCCCGUUAUUUAUUCCAUUCUAGUGAAUAGCAAUGUCGAAAUAUUGGCACUGAAUAAACGCGAACCAAGUAUUUUGCGUGAAUUUGAAAUUAAUGAAAUGAAAUUAAUCAGAGACAUUUUUCUGUUAGUACGGACGAUGGACGGAAACUGCGGUACAGAUUGAUCGACGUUUGCAACUUGUCGUUCUUCGUACACCACAAAUACAUAAGUACAUACAUUGUACAAUCGGACGCCAAACGCGUAGUUGCAUAGUUAUUUUCUGACAUUAGCGUGGACAAGCAAAUAUACGGUGUGAGUGAGCGAUAGAAGACAAUGUACAAUGCAGUUGUACAAUGCGCAGCUGGAAAAAUGCAGGCCUGAUCGGUUAUUUCGUACAGACCCAACAAAAUUAUAACGAUAAGCACCGCGUGUUAGCCGAAACUAUCGUAUAUGUAUGUAUAUAAACAAAAGAAUAUAGCGACGCGUGACGGCGAACGAUAGGAAACACAUAUCUACAUGUGUAAGCAUAAGACGCGAAGAAACUGAUCCACACAGAAAAUUAGCUCGAGCGCGAGUAAAUCUGAGCAGCCUCGAUUCGAUACGACCAGACACGACGACGAAAUUUAAAAUAAACGCUUAUUCAAACUAUUAGUGUACGUCGUUGUGUUCGCAACGGAGCAGUAGCAUUCAUAUUGCACGCGUGGUGAGAUGAUCGCUAUAAUCAAAGACGAAUUUCGAUGGUGUUUAAGAUGUAAGCGAGAUAACUCGGCAUCGAGUGUCGGUAUCUAAAUUAUUGAAACUAGGACAUACGAUUAACAAAAUAAACUCGCAAAAUGAAGAACGAUUCAUUGGAAAGGAACGUAGAUACUGGAUCGUAUUCGAAAGCUUUCAGAAUAUAUGUUCCACCCUGCGUGAUUAAUCCUGGAUACGUGACCCAGCUUACGGCAUUUCGAAGCGAUUUCUUUGUCGACGACCGAUUCACAUUGAUCUCAAGGGAAGAAGAGUAGAAAAGCGAAAAGCUUAAGCGAUCUUAACCUAAACCGAGCAUGAUUUCGGGUGAACCUCUGUUUAUGUCUCGGACAGCGCAUCUGCCCUUUUCCAAGUUGAAAACAUUACAAUGCGGGUCUCAUAAAGAGGUUAACUAACACCCUAAGCCCUCGAUGAGUCAACUCCAAAGUAAACAACUGAUACCAAUCAGAAACGCCGGAGGAUAUGCGCUCACAAUGGUGAGAAGGAAAUCCCAGGACGGAGAGCUAGUACGUAGGGAGGCUUCCUCAGAGUUUCUUAAACCAGUCUUCAAACAGUCUUCACCAACACAGUCAUACUCUCCGUGUUAUACUAAACAGUGCAAAUGAAUCACUAAACAGAACAUUACUCAUAAUAUAUAAUAAAACAUAAUCGAUGCCA